rnacentral:tRNA from 1 species
CGGAACGUAGCACAGUUUGGUAGUGUAGCUGCUUUGGGAGCAGUUGGUCAUAGGUUCAAAUCCUAUCGUUCCGA